CCCCUGGUGGUCUGGUGGUCAGGAUGCAGCGCUCUCACUGCCACGGCCCGGGUUCGAUUCCCGGUCAGGGGA
rfam:Manacus vitellinus contig36523, whole genome shotgun sequence.